AGUUAAUAUCCACAGCUCAAUAGAUUGUCACCAGCCAUGUGCCUAGAGUUAACUGUGUCAAGAAGAGCAUGCUUCAAGUGGCUGGAGUGAGCAGUUCAACUUGUGAAGGAAUGAGAAAUAACAGUGCUGAGACAAGAAACACAACACCCCAGGGAUGGCUGUGGAGAUCCAGGGAGGCAGUGGCCAUAGGGAUGCUAUGUUAACUGCAGAUGCAGCCGUAGGAGCACUUUGCUAACGGCCAACGUGAGUUCAGACUCUUCAGGCUAUUUGGCACCCAGGUGUGUGGUGAGGUGUGACAUAUGGGAUGUAAGGUUUGAUGCCUGCUCCGACACCAGUCUUGCUAACACACGCUAAACAUUUGGCGAAUCAUGACCCUACCUUGGGGAAAAGGGCAUUCUGGGAGAGCUUCUUCAAGGCAGGCUGGCUUCAGUGCAGUCCGGGGCAUGACUGAGAUAGGCUUACAUGGUGAGGAAUUGGAGGAUAACUGGGUA